rnacentral:tRNA from 1 species
GCUUAGCUCAGCUGGUUUAGAGCAUCUGCCUUACAAGCAGAGGGUCGGCGGUUCGAAUCCGUCAGC